CAGGGUAACUUCCUGAAUGAAAGAUGCUUGAACAUAGGGGUGACACUCUAUAUAGGCAUCAGCUCAACAUCUCCAUGUUCAAUGAGUUGUAUAAGGCUCUCUUUCACCAAAAUGGAGGAACAGUGGACAGCUGACCUUAUCACAAGUGUUUCUGACUCCAGGUGUGUCUGAGCCAUAUCUAGAAUCUACUGCCGGAGGAACAGGACCUGGGAAAGGAAGACGGGCCUCUGACAUACUUGUUUCUCGGCACAGAGACAGAACAUCACCAUGCCCUGCAUACCCAACCUUUUCUGAAUAGUCUCUGUAAAUUUUCAGAAACCCUUUCAUUAAGAGUCUUGCCUCCCACAUCCCUCUGAUGGAAAUCCAGGUUUGGCCUAGGCUAAAAGGCUACAACCUAGUAGGCUCGACUGAUCAGCUGCUUUUCACUGAAACUGAAUCAUGAGAGAAACAAAUAAGAACAACCGGCUGGCGGAAGCCCCACACCCAUUGAUGGAAUAGA